rfam:Octopus bimaculoides Scaffold48737_contig_12, whole genome shotgun sequence.
UCCCGGCUAGCUCAGCCGGUAGAGCACGUGACUCUUAAACUCGGGGUCGUGGGUUCGAAUCCCACACCGGGCG